GCCGGAGUAGCUCAAUGGCAGAGCAAUGCUUUCGUAAAGCAAAGACGGAGGUUCGAUUCCUCUCUCCGGCU
rnacentral:tRNA from 1 species